rnacentral:rRNA from 1 species
UUUAUUUUUUUUUAUUAAAUUGAGAUUGAUUCUGUCUUUUAAAAUUAGCUAAUUUGGUAAUAUUAGAUACAAGUUUUUGCGAGUUGUAAAUUUAUCUAAAUGAUAAUUUUUUUUAUUUGUAGUUUUUAAUUUUGAGGUUUUCAGGAAUGUAGAUUCAGUUAAUUUUUU